CAGUCACAGUUCGGAUUGAAGGCUGAAAUUCGCCUUCAUGAAGCUGGAAUUGCUAGUAAUGGCAGGUCAGCAUACUGCCGUGAAUACGUUCCCGGGCCUUGUACACACCGCCCGUCACACCAUGAGAGUUGGGAAUACCCGAAGCCUGUGAGCUAACUGUAAGGAGGCAGCAGUCGAAGGUAGAAUCAAUGAUUGGGGUGAAGUCGUAACAAGGUAGC
rnacentral:rRNA from 1 species